rnacentral:rRNA from 1 species
GAUGAACGCUGGCGGCGUGCCUAAUACAUGCAAGUAGAACGCUGAAGGAGGAGCUUGCUCUUCUGGAUGAGUUGCGAACGGGUGAGUAACGCGUAGGUAACCUGCCUGGUAGCGGGGGAUAACUAUUGGAAACGAUAGCUAAUACCGCAUGACAACAGUUAUUGCAUGAUAACUGUUUAAAAGGGGCAACUGCUCCACUACCAGAUGGACCUGCGUUGUAUUAGCUAGUUGGUGAGGUAACGGCUCACCAAGGCGACGAUACAUAGCCGACCUGAGAGGGGGAUCGGCCACACUGGGACUGAGACACGGCCCAGACUCCUACGGGAGGCAGCAGUAGGGAAUCUUCGGCAAUGGACGGAAGUCUGACCGAGCAACGCCGCGUGAGUGAAGAAGGGUGUCGGAUCGUAAAGCUCUGUUGUAAGAGAAGAACGAGUGUGAGAGUGGAAAGUUCACACUGUGACGGUAUCUUACCAGAAAGGGACGGCUAACUACGUG